GACGAACGCUGGCGGCGUGCUUAACACAUGCAAGUCGAACGGAAAGGCCCUGCUUUUGUGGGGUGCGCGAGUGGCGAACGGGUGAGUAACACGUGAGUAACCUGCCCUUGACUUUGGGAUAACUUCAGGCAACUGGGGGUAAUACCGGAUAGGAGCUCCUGCUGCAUGGUGGGGGUUGGAAAGUUUCGGCGGUUGGGGAUGGACUCGCGGCUUAUCAGCUUGUUGGUGGGGUAGUGGAUUACCAAGGCUUUGACGGGUGGCCGGGCUGAGCGGGUGACCGGCCACAUCGGGACUGAGAUACGGCCCAGACUCCUCCGGGACGCAGCAGUGCGGAAUAUUGCACAAUGGGCGGAAGCCUGAUGCAGCAACGCCGCGUGCGGGAUGACGGCAUUCGGGUUGUAAACCGCUUUCGCCUGUGACGAAGCGUGAGUGACGGUAAUGGGUAAAGAAGCACCGGCUAACUACGUG
rnacentral:rRNA from 1 species